rnacentral:rRNA from 1 species
GUGGUAAUGCCGGAUGCUCCGACUCCUCGCAUGGGGUGUCGGGAAAGAUUUCAUCGGUAUGGGAUGGGGUCGCGUCCUAUCAGGUAGUCGGCGGGGUAACGGCCCACCGAGCCUACGACGGGUAGCCGGCCUGAGAGGGCGACCGGCCACAUUGGGACUGAGAUACGGCCCAGACUCCUACGGGAGGCAGCAGUGGGGAAUAUUGCACAAUGGGCGCAAGCCUGAUGCAGCGACGCCGCGUGCGGGAUGACGGCCUUCGGGUUGUAAACCGCUUUUGAUCGGGAGCAAGCCUUCGGGUGAGUGUACCUUUCGAAUAAGCACCGGCUAACUACGUGCCAGCAGCCGCGGUAAUACGUAGGGUGCAAGCGUUAUCCGGAAUUAUUGGGCGUAAAGGGCUCGUAGGCGGUUCGUCGCGUCCGGUGUGAAAGUCCAUCGCUUAACGGUGGAUCUGCGCCGGGUACGGGCGGGCUGGAGUGCGGUAGGGGAGACUGGAAUUCCCGGUGUAACGGUGGAAUGUGUAGAUAUCGGA